GACCAUAUGUUAUCUGUCUCAGAGUUAAAAUCCACUCUUUAAGUGUUGCAUUAACACUUCUGUUUACUACAACCCGUCUUCACAAAGGGUAGCUGGGAUAGGCUCCAGCAUCCCCAAGACACUGACAGGGUUUGGAAAUUAGGUGGUUGGACUCGUACCACCUUAAAAUAUUAGGUGUUGUAACAACAUUUAAUGAACACAACACUAAACUUCUGUUGGUAUUUUGUACUUUUCAAAACAUUUUUUGGCCAUGACCCAUUUUGCUAUUCAGACCCCAGAAACAUAAAGUAAUAUUUGUCAUUUUUGUCUUGUUUCUGUAACUUCUCUUAAAUAAUUUGUGUUUUUUUUAUGGUUCAUUUUUCUAAAUAGUCCUCUGGUUUAUCUGUCUUAUUCUCUGUAAGUAAACAAGGGUUAAAUUUGACCAGUUUGUCUGAUUCCCUGAACUGUGCUAAAAGAUUCAGAUGAAGGACUUUAAACUCAUCACCCUUGUGACAUUCUGCCCUUGUCAUCCGGAAGUUCCCUUCUUAUCUCCUCUCAGUUAAGUAAUACCACAUUUUUUUAAAAUUCUGUUGAUUAUGCGUGGUGUCUAAGUUCUUCUUGCUGGCCUGUUCUUUUGUCAGCAAACAACAGAUGACACAAUUUUGUGUUCUUUUAUUCCUUGGUUUCUCAUUGUUUAAAUAUGAGAACAAACAUUGAGCAACAAGCUGGUUUAGUGUCCUACCAGGAAAAUGUAAACUUUGAGGAGUUUAAGGGAAAAUUUGAAGUUUUUUGUUCCGUUUCUUCUGUAAAGACCUUUCUUUAUUUAGAGAAAACAGAUGUCAAGGAACUUGAUUGGUGACUUUUUAAAAACAGGAUAAAGAGCGACUCAGCAUUUAGGAAUGCCACAAGACUGGCUUGAUUUUCCAGGACAUUCUUUUUUUUUUUAGCUUCAUUACCACAACAGAACAAGUUUGUUGUAGGAGGAACAUCAGUGUUAUCUGAUUGUGUUAUUGUAAUACUUAAAGAAGCACCUGACUGUUCUCCAACCAGAGUUUAAGUGUAACAGAGACGACACGGAGCUGCACAGAAGACCAGAGGUAUUCUUGCUCCUCUCAUCAAACCAUGGGUGGCUCCUCUUUAAAAAAGGCAAUGUUCUGGAAGAAGAAGAAGAAGUCACCUCUGAACAAAGCCUUCAGUGAAAUCAAAAAGGCGCUACCUAAAAAGAAAAAGAAGAGGAAGAGCAUCUUUCAGAAGCUGAAGAAAGACAAACAGUCCAAGAAGAAAUUUUCCCUGACCAAAGACAAAAAAUCCACAUCGCCGCUGCUGAAGAAGCUGUCUCUGGGUCACAAAAGGAAGGAGUCGCUUGAUAGUGCUUCAGGAGAUAGGAAGGAAAAGGACAAAGGAGGGCUGGGUCGGGUGGGAGAGCAGAUUAAAAAGAAAUUUUCUCCAGAGAACCAGAAAGAGACCAAAACUCAAGAACAGGUUUCUCCAAUUGAGAAUUCAAAGGAGGACACUGACAAAACAUUUAAGAUGAAGAAGCUGAAGGAUGUCAUGAGUUUCAGUCGAACAACAGGAGCCAAAGAGAACAGAAAAUUAUCCUGACGGCCUCUGAAGGAUGAAAGACUCUGGAAGAAACAGAAAACUUGAAAAAUAAAUACAAAGAUAUGUGAACUCAA